AGGUGGCCCACAAAAUGUCCUCCUGGAAAAAACGUGACCUCACUCCAUAUCAUCAGUAAGUGAUGAGACGUCUGUAAGCACCUGCACCCUGAUUCAGCUGCUCAAACAUGCCACAGGACACCAUGGCUUCCACCCUCCUACUUUCAGCAGAAGUCAUGUGAAACUAAAGUUGAGACAUCAUAAGCCUGCAGACUCACCAGGUUGCAGCUCUCCAGGGGUCCCAGAUGUCAGUCUGAAGUGUUUACUGGGGUCCCCCUUUUGGUGACUUCGGAACUCCGUUUUGUACUCUACUACACCAAGGGUUGGACUGCUAAGAAAUCU